rnacentral:rRNA from 1 species
GACGAACGCUGGCGGCGUGCUUAACACAUGCGAGUCGAGCGGAAAGGCCCUUUCGGGGGUACUCGAGCGGCGAACGGGUGAGUAACACGUGAGUAAUCUGCCUCUGGCUUUGGGAUAGCUUCGGGAAACCGAAAUUAAUACCGGAUAUGACACGGUUUCGCAUGAGAUCCGUGUGGAAAGUUUUUCGGCCAGGGAUGUGCUCGCGGCCUAUCAGCUUGUUGGUGGGGUACUGGCCUACCAAGGCUUCGACGGGUAGCCGGCCUGAGAGGGUGCCCGGCCACAGUGGGACUGAGCGAAGGCCCAGACUCCUACGGGAGGCAGCAGUGGGGAAUAUUGGACAAUGGGCGGAAGCCUGAUCCAGCAACGCCGCGUGAGGGAUGACGGCCUUCGGGUUGUAAACCUCUUUCACCACCGACGAAGCGCAAGUGACGGUAGGUGGGGAAGAAGCACCGGCCAACUACGUGCCAGCCGCCGCCGUAAUAC